UGCAGUCGGACGGGAUUGGAGAGCUUGCUUUCCAUGAGAGUGGCGCACGGGUGCGUAACACGUAUGUAACCUACCUUUAUCUGGGGGAUAGCCUCUCGAAAGAGAGAUUAACACCGCAUAACAUUACGAAGCGGCAUUGCAUUGUAAUCAAAUAUUUAUAGGAUAAAGAUGGGCAUGCGGGACAUUAGCUAGAUGGUGAGGUAACGGCUCACCAUGGCGACGAUGUCUAGGGGAUCUGAGAGGAUGACCCCCCACACUGGUACUGAGACACGGACCAGACUCCUACGGGAGGCAGCAGUAAGGAAUAUUGGUCAAUGGAGGCAACUCUGAACCAGCCAUGCCGCGUGCAGGAAGACGGCCCUACGGGUUGUAAACUGCUUUUGUACCGGAAUAAACCUAGAUACGUGUAUCUAGCUGAAUGUACGGUAAGAAUAAGGAUCGGCUAACUCCGUGCCAGCAGCCGCGGUAAUACGGAGGAUCCAAGCGUUAUCCGGAUUUAUUGGGUUUAAAGGGUGCGUAGGCGGCUUAUUAAGUCAGGGGUGAAAGGCGGUAGCUUAACUAUCGGAGUGCCCUUGAUACUGAUGAGCUUGAAUGCAGCUGAGGUAGGCGGAAUGUGACAAGUAGCGGUGA
rnacentral:rRNA from 1 species